AAAUUGAAGAGUUUGAUCAUGGCUCAGAUUGAACGCUGGCGGCAGGCCUAACACAUGCAAGUCGAACGGUAACAGGAAGCAGCUUGCUGCUUCGCUGACGAGUGGCGGACGGGUGAGUAAUGUCUGGGAAACUGCCUGAUGGAGGGGGAUAACUACUGGAAACGGUAGCUAAUACCGCAUAACGUCGCAAGACCAAAGAGGGGGACCUUCGGGCCUCUUGCCAUCGGAUGUGCCCAGAUGGGAUUAGCUUGUUGGUGGGGUAACGGCUCACCAAGGCGACGAUCCCUAGCUGGUCUGAGAGGAUGACCAGUCACACUGGAACUGAGACACGGUCCAGACUCCUACGGGAGGCAGCAGUGGGGAAUAUUGCACAAUGGGCGCAAGCCUGAUGCAGCCAUGCCGCGUGUAUGAAGAAGGCCUUCGGGUUGUAAAGUACUUUCAGCGGGGAGGAAGGGAGUAAAGUUAAUACCUUUGCUCAUUGACGUUACCCGCAGAAGAAGCACCGGCUAACUCCGUGCCAGCAGCCGCGGUAAUACGGAGGGUGCAAGCGUUAAUCGGAAUUACUGGGCGUAAAGCGCACGCAGGCGGUUUGUUAAGUCAGAUGUGAAAUCCCCGGGCUCAACCUGGGAACUGCAUCUGAUACUGGCAAGCUUGAGUCUCGUAGAGGGGGGUAGAAUUCCAGGUGUAGCGGUGAAAUGCGUAGAGAUCUGGAGGAAUACCGGUGGCGAAGGCGGCCCCCUGGACGAAGACUGACGCUCAGGUGCGAAAGCGUGGGGAGCAAACAGGAUUAGAUACCCUGGUAGUCCACGCCGUAAACGAUGUCGACUUGGAGGUUGUGCCCUUGAGGCGUGGCUUCCGGAGCUAACGCGUUAAGUCGACCGCCUGGGGAGUACGGCCGCAAGGUUAAAACUCAAAUGAAUUGACGGGGGCCCGCACAAGCGGUGGAGCAUGUGGUUUAAUUCGAUGCAACGCGAAGAACCUUACCUGGUCUUGACAUCCACGGAAGUUUUCAGAGAUGAGAAUGUGCCUUCGGGAACCGUGAGACAGGUGCUGCAUGGCUGUCGUCAGCUCGUGUUGUGAAAUGUUGGGUUAAGUCCCGCAACGAGCGCAACCCUUAUCCUUUGUUGCCAGCGGUCCGGCCGGGAACUCAAAGGAGACUGCCAGUGAUAAACUGGAGGAAGGUGGGGAUGACGUCAAGUCAUCAUGGCCCUUACGACCAGGGCUACACACGUGCUACAAUGGCGCAUACAAAGAGAAGCGACCUCGCGAGAGCAAGCGGACCUCAUAAAGUGCGUCGUAGUCCGGAUUGGAGUCUGCAACUCGACUCCAUGAAGUCGGAAUCGCUAGUAAUCGUGGAUCAGAAUGCCACGGUGAAUACGUUCCCGGGCCUUGUACACACCGCCCGUCACACCAUGGGAGUGGGUUGCAAAAGAAGUAGGUAGCUUAACCUUCGGGAGGGCGCUUACCACUUUGUGAUUCAUGACUGGGGUGAAGUCGUAACAAGGUAACCGUAGGGGAACCUGCGGUUGGAUCACCUCCUUA
rnacentral:rRNA from 1 species